rnacentral:rRNA from 1 species
AAUUGAAGAGUUUGAUCAUGGCUCAGAUUGAACGCUGGCGGCAGGCUUAACACAUGCAAGUCGAACGGUAGCAGGAAGGAAGCUUGCUUUCUUUGCUGACGAGUGGCGGACGGGUGAGUAAUGCUUGGGAAUCUGGCUUAUGGAGGGGGAUAACUACGGGAAACUGUAGCUAAUACCGCGUAAUGUCUAAGGACUAGAGGGUGGGACUUUCGGGCCACCUGCCAUAAGAUGAGCCCAAGUGGGAUUAGGU